GAUGAAGAACGCAGCGAAAUGCGAUAAGUAAUGUGAAUUGCAGAAUUCAGUGAAUCAUCGAAUCUUUGAACGCAUCUUGCGCUCCUUGGUAUUCUGAGGAGCAUGCCUGUUUGAGUGUCAUUAAAUUCUCAACUACACUGACUUUGAAUUGGUGUGGCUUGGAUUUGGGGGGAAAAUUGUUGUGGGCUUUUUGUAUAGUCUGCUCCCCUGAAAUUGAUUAGCGGUACCUUUGUGGAACUGUCUACAGAUGUGAUAAUUAUCUACAUCUUAGACAUCUGCUGGAAUGCUGCUUUCUAAACCUUACUUGUAUUGACAAUCUUGACCUCAAAUCAGGUAGGACUACCCGCUGAACUUAAGCAUAUCAAUAAGCGGAGGA
rnacentral:misc_RNA from 1 species